rnacentral:misc_RNA from 1 species
UAAUAAGUGUUUUAUGGCACUUUUUAAAUCCAUAUCACCUUGUGUGCAAUGUCGGUCGAUCUUCUUCAUGGAGAUCGACCAAACAUCAACCUUUAUCUUUUAACUCUUUGUCUGAAAAAUAUUAUGAAUAAACAAUUCAAAAUA